AGUCGAUUUGGCAUGUGGAUAAAACUGCAAAUAUGUUUAAACCUGCAGAAAAGAAGAGACUGCAGCUACAAUAAAAAUUGGGAAGAAAAAUAUAUAUGGAUUAAGCCCGUCAGCGGUGACUCAACAAAAAGCCUUCUGUACUUUAUGUCGCAGGGAAUUUUCAGUUGCCUAUGGAGGUGAGAAUGACUUGAGUAAACAUGCUUCCACAGAAAUACACAAGAAGGCCACAUUAGCUAAAGGUGCAAGCAAUAUCUGUGGAUUCUUCGGGGUAACUACUGUGGAAACUGACAAAAUAGCGGCAAGCGAAGCCUCGUACGUGUAUCACACCGUCAAACAUGGACUCCGCUACAAUAGCAACGACUGUCUUGUUAAGCUAAACGGUGCAUUGUUUCAUGACUCAAAUGUUGUGAAGAAGAUGCGCUUCGGGAGAACGAAAGCAGAGAUGAUCACAAUUAAUGUUUAGGACUGAAUGAUCUAUCUCCAUCUGAAGUGACAGAGUUGGCAACCCUAGAUCUACUGCAUACGUAAAGUGAAGAGGCUAGAUAAAGCCUAAGGUCUCUCCCUCCAGCUGCCGUGCCCGCUCUUUCAACCUCGAUCUCCGUAAUUCCUGGCAAACGUGGGUUUUUAAGAAGAGAACCUGAAAGACAAAAUAUGAAGCGAUUGCAAUAAGUAUGACAGUGAUUUUAUAUCAUUCAUUUUAACGUGAUUGCACCAUGUAAAGACAUUUAAUUUUUUUUGUUAGACGUACACAAUUUGUCAGUGUACAAAACCGUUCUUAUGGUAUGUAUUUUCUGCAUGCCAUUUGAAAAACACAGAUCACACUGUCAUAGUCAGAGCUACCAAUACGCUCUAAGCAGACGAGUUGAAACAGUAAAACAGACAUCCUGAUCGCGUUCAAAACAACUCUCGUUCUCCCUACACUAAACAAAUGAUAUCAGAGUUUUUGCCAGCAGGAAGGAGACAGAAGGAUCUAUCCAUCAGAGGAACACAUGUUAUAGAUAGAGAGAUAAGGCCAGUCACCAGAAAAUGUAGCCAUCAAUAUUGCUGCCACAAUUGUAUCCCCAGUUAUAUUGACACAUACUGAGAAACACAGACGUUAGGUAAAACAAGUUUGGCUAGCUAACACUAACAGUACUAUUUCCAUGCUUAUCCAUGAUUGUUCAUCCAACAUUAAAUGCCACAUAAAUGUAUCGGUUUUCAAUGUGAUUUUCUUCAGGGAUAAAUUGUUCAAACUAUUUCAACAAAAGAGAAUGGGGGAACAGGGACAAGUGUCAGGGUACUUUAAAGUUGGAUUAAAUUAUGUAUUAUACUUGAAUCUGAAUAACCUUAUUAAUUAGGAUAAAUUAUUAUUACCAUCUCUUAAAGGUUAUGCUCUGAGUUUUUAUAAAAUAUUUUUUCGGGGGUCUAUGGGGCCCCCUACAAGGCCCUCCUGGAGGGGGCCCUCGAGGAGCCACUGCCACCACCACCACCGGAAUGGUUUGAUGAAGGGGCCCCCAGGGGUUUGGGACUACAAGCCCCUGCCACCUCCCCGCUCCUGUCCCUGUGUCCACUCACGGUCCUGAGGUGGGCGGCCGCCUCUUCCUGGUUCUGAGGUUGAGCUGCCGUCUCCUUGCGCACCUUCUGUCCUGGCGCCUCCAGCUCCCCUGACUCCUCCUGCUCCUCUGACGGGGCCACCCCCUCUUCCAGAUUUCGAGACACUUUGCAGGCCAUUCCCAGUUGGACCAGACCCCAAUUAUCUUCUUUCAUGUUAAAGCUUCUAACUUCAACUAGCAAAUUGAAUGGCCACAUAAGAAUAUAAAGUGCGGUCUUCACUUAUUGGCACCUUAUGUAAAGAUGAACAAAAAAUACUAUUAAGUCUGUAUAUUGUUGUUUAUA